GGUUAGGGUUUCAAAUGAAGCCAAGAAUUUCAAAUUAGGGUUUCAGAUUAGGGUUAAGGUUUCAAAGGAGCGUUUCAAAUUAGGGUUAGGGUUUCAAAAGUACAGUUUCAAACUAGGAUCAGGGUUUCAAAUUUAGGUUUCAAACGAGGGUGUGGGUUUCAAAUGAAGCCAAGGUCUUCAAAUUAGGGUUUCAGAUUAGGGUUAAGGUUUCAAAGGAGCGUUUCAAACGAGGGUUAGGGUUUCGAAGUAGGGUUUCACAUGAGGUUAAGGGUUUCAAAGUAGGGUUUGAUACAAGGAUUAGUAUUUCAAAUUAGGGUUUCAAAGUAGGAUUUCAUAUUAGGUUUUGGUUUGGACUGUAUGUAGUGUUAGGGUUUCAAAUUGCAGUUACA